rnacentral:rRNA from 2 species
AACUUGAGUGCAGAAGAGGACAGUGGAACUCCAUGUGUAGCGGUGAAAUGCGUAGAUAUAUGGAAGAACACCAGUGGCGAAGGCGGCUGUUUGGUCUGUAACUGACGCUGAGGCUCGAAAGCAUGGGUAGCGAACAGGAUUAGAUACCCUGGUAGUCCAUGCCGUAAACGAUGAAUGCUAGGUGUUGGAGGGUUUCCGCCCUUCAGUGCCGCAGCUAACGCAUUAAGCAUUCCGCCUGGGGAGUACGACCGCAAGGUUGAAACUCAAAGGAAUUGACGGGGGCCCGCACAAGCGGUGGAGCAUGUGGUUUAAUUCGAAGCAACGCGAAGAACCUUACCAGGUCUUGACAUCUUUUGAUCACCUGAGAGAUCAGGUUUCCCCUUCGGGGGCAAAAUGACAGGUGGUGCAUGGUUGUCGUCAGCUCGUGUCGUGAGAUGUUGGGUUAAGUCCCGCAACGAGCGCAACCCUUAUGACUAGUUGCCAGCAUUUAGUUGGGCACUCUAGUAAGACUGCCGGUGACAAACCGGAGGAAGGUGGGGAUGACGUCAAAUCAUCAUGCCCCUUAUGACCUGGGCUACACACGUGCUACAAUGGAUGGUACAACGAGUUGCGAGACCGCGAGGUCAAGCUAAUCUCUUAAAGCCAUUCUCAGUUCGGACUGUAGGCUGCAACUCGCCUACACGAAGUCGGAAUCGCUAGUAAUCGCGGAUCAGCACGCCGCGGUGAAUACGUUCCCGGGCCUUGUACACACCGCCCGUCACACCAUGAGAGUUUGUAACACCCGAAGCCGGUGGCGUAACCCUUUAGGGAGCGAGCCGUCUAAGGU